CAUUAAUAAUGCCCUCUGACUUCGGUCAGCUGGGUUCAAAUGAGUGCCUUCUCUUCGGAGUUGGCCAUCCUCACACACCGUGAACUGUGGCUUCGGCCAUCACAAACUGUUAGUAAUGAAUGUAAUAUCAUAACAAAAACAAAACUUUUAACAACGGAUCUCUUGGCUCUCGCAUCGAUGAAGAACGCAGCGAAAUGCGAUAAGUAAUGUGAAUUGCAGAAUUCAGUGAAUCAUCGAAUCUUUGAACGCACCUUGCGCCCUUUGGUAUUCCGAAGGGCAUGCCUGUUUGAGUGUCAUGAAACCUCACCCCACUUGGGUUUUUGCCUGAGCGGUGGUGUAUUGGGUGUUGCCUUGCCAAAGGCUCGCCUUAAAAGUAUAAGCACCUUGGAUGUAAUACGUUUCAUCCUUCUGGGUGGCUGAUAACCCCACAUAUUCAUGAUCUGGCCUCAAAUCAGGUAGGGCUACCC
rnacentral:rRNA from 1 species